UUCGGGUGAGGCAAGCGUUGUUCGGAAUCACUGGGCUUAAAGCGCGUGUAGGCGGUUCGGUAAGUACCUUGUGAAAUCCCUUUUCUCAAUGAAGGAAUGGCUGGGUAUACUGCCGGACUGGAGGCAGGUAGGGGUCACUGGAACUCUAGGUGGAGCGGUGAAAUGCGUAGAUAUCUAGAGGAACGCCCGUGGCGAAAGCGGGUGACUGGGCCUGUCCUGACGCUGAGACGCGAAAGCGUGGGUAGCAAAC
rnacentral:rRNA from 1 species